GUUCACUGUAGUGGUACUCCAGUGUUUGGGUACUAACCAAAAACGGGUGCCUCAAUAAAUGUGUACAAUGCGAGCACAUUAUUUGCAUUUAUGUGUCACUGCUGCACAAUGUACAGCUGUUUCGGUUUAUAAUUUUUAUUGCGGUGCAGAACAAGAAAAAUGUUUGAAAAGUAGACGUCGUCACAUUAUAGAUGUACCGAGACAGUGCACACGUUUUCAUUGCGACAGACAAGGAUGGCAGCAACGAGUAACGACGACAGCGUAUCAUUUUUUGGGCUACAAAACGCACGCGUGAAAACUAAAAAAUCAGUCUAAAAACCAUAAUAUGUCAUAAUCGGGUUGUUAGUCGAACGGCAGGCAUCCAACAAGACUCCGAUGAAUUAAUAUAUAAAACACCAUGUAGAUCUGCACCGAGCGCCACAUGACUGCAUCAUCCAACUAUCGUGACAUUCAUGUUUUAAUAUUGUCAUUUAUUCUGUACAUAAUAUCCAACUGGGUACAUAUUAUUAUUUUUAACAUUUUUUUAUGAACGCAGUAACAGUUGCGUGAAAAUGUGGAAUUUUUCUUUUUUUUUUUUUCAGACCAAGUACGAUUAUUUAUACAUAGUAUACCUACUAAUCACAAUUCUAUUUGUAUACCUUAUUUAUUUAUUUUUACAUGAAAAUGUUUUUCAUACGUUUAUAAAAAAAAUGAUUGUAAUACCUAGUUUGUUUUCCAUAACGUUUUUAAAAGUAAUUGUUAUUUGUACGACAAAUUCUC